UACGGCGGUUAUAGCGUUGGGGAAACGCCCGGUCCCAUUCCGAACCCGGAAGCUAAGCCCUUCAGCGCCGAUGGUACUGCACUGGUGACGGUGUGGGAGAGUAGGACGCCGCCGGAC
rnacentral:rRNA from 1 species